AUAUUGCACAAUGGGGGAAACCCUGAUGCAGCGACGCCGCGUGAGGGAAGAAGGUUUUCGGAUUGUAAACCUCUGUCUUCAGUGACGAAAAUGACGGUAACUGAGGAGGAAGCCACGGCUAACUACGUGCCAGCAGCCGCGGUAAUACGUAGGUGGCAAGCGUUGUCCGGAAUUACUGGGUGUAAAGGGAGCGUAGGCGGGAAGACAAGUUGGACGUUAAAUCUAUCGGCUCAACCGGUAGCAGCGUUCAAAACUGCCUUUCUUGAGUGAAGUAGAGGUAAGCGGAAUUCCUAGUGUAGCGGUGAAAUGCGUAAAUAUUAGGAGGAACACCAGUGGCGAAGGCGGCUUACUGGACAGUAACUGACGUUGAGGCUCGAAAGCGUGGGGAGCAAACA
rnacentral:rRNA from 1 species